CAGUAGCCGCGGUAAUACGUAGGGGGCGAGCGUUGUCCGAAGUUACUGUGCGUAAAGCGCGCGUAGGCGGCUUCUUAAGUCUGAGGUGAAAGGUUCAACGCUUAACGUGAACAGUGCCUUGGAUACUGGGGAGCUUGAGUAUGGGAGAGGGCAGUGGAAUGGCUGGUGUAGCGGUGAAAUGCGUAGAUAUCAGUCGGAACACCCAUGGCGAAGGCAGCUGCCUGGCCUAAUACUGACGCUGAGGUGCGAAAGCGUGGGGAGCGAACGGGAUUAGAUACCCGGGUAGUCCCUGUCUCUUAUA
rnacentral:rRNA from 1 species